rnacentral:lncRNA from 1 species
AGAAUUUCUACCCAUGAAAUGGCGCUUGUGCCUGAGGGCAUGAGCCAUGGGGGCUCAGUUCUUGGAUUAUGGAAUGCUCCUCCAUGGGCUCCCCAUGGCCCCUACCCAGCGUGGCGCAUGGGAGAGCAGCAGAGGUGACCCCAUGAAGUGACCACCACGAGCCCACCUCAGCGGAAAAGGUUUUGGGCCACCAUGAAGUGACCACAACGAGCCCCCCCUCAGCCUCGGGAGCUGCGGAUCCCUUUGGCAGGAUCCCAGUCCUGCCCCCUCUGAAAUUUGGGGGGUUUUGGAGCCAAUCUGUGAAUCCUGAGACAAUCCCAGGUGACAGCCGCAGGACACACCUGGAGCCAGGUGCAGCAGGAGUGGGGGGCUCAGCUCUUGGAUCAUGAAAGUAUUACCAACACAAAUAAAAACUGCUUUUUUUG